CCUAUGGGAAAGAAAAGACUGAUAAACAAAGCGAACGACUCAUAACUGCCACUACUGGACACUGACCAGCGCUCAGGGCACCUCAGUACCCUCCCAGGGAGCUCCCUCACCGUCCCCAGUACAGGCAGAGAACGUAUUACAGAACACUUGUAAAACUAUCAUAUGACACAAAACUACCUCUCCACCUCAGCCAUAGUUUUCAACAUUUUGAGAUUUGGUAUUUUGUAAGUAAUAUGUUUGUUACAGCAAUAUAAAAGUAAUAAUGGGCCCUUUUAAGAUUUGUAGUGAUUGAAGUCCUUACUACAUACAAGGAAACGUCAUAAUAAAACCACCAUGGCAAUAAAUUGCUACCAAGAAUAAAGCUGAAUUUGAGGGAGGUGGGUAGUUAAAUAUCUCUGCUUAGCUCAGCAUAACUGGUUACCUUUUGACAUCCUGGCACAAGCUAGGUGUGAUGGAUCUUGGUUGUCAACUUGACUAAUCUGGAAUUAACUAAAGCAAACGGUUGGACACAGCUGUGAGAGACUCUUACUUGAUUAAAUCAUUUGAAGUGAGAAGGUCCACCUUUUACCCAGAUCUGCUGAGGUGGGAAGAUUUACCUUUGACCUGGACCACAGCCUCUGCUGGAGCCGAUAUAAAGGAGAUGGAAGAAGAAAGCUUACUUCUUUGCCUACUUGAUCUUGCCUCACUACCAAGGCCAUUCCUUUACUGGCAUUAGAGUCUGCUUCAGGAUUCCAGUGUAUACUGGAGCCCAGCUGAGACAUGCAACCUCAUGGACUGAAUAACUACUGGAUUCUUGGACCUUUCAUUGGACAGGACAACCCGUGCCUGGAUUGCCAUCGAUGGAAUCCACCAUUCAGCUGCAGAGGAUGCUUGGCUUCCCUUCCAAAUUCCCCUCCUGAGGGAGCCUACUUGGAGACACAAACUGCUUUCCACAUCCAAGCAAUAUGGUGGAAUUGAAAUACAUAAAGUUAAUCUAGAGCUAGACGUUGGUUUCUGCAUAAGUAAAGAGCGAAAAUCAAAGUUCGAGGUGUUCCUUAACUCUUCUGGGUCUUCACUUCCUUUAGAGAUGAUGACCACAUUUUAAAAUUUAUCAUAGUACUCAUACAAUUAUAAAAAUUCAUAAAAUGUGCAAUUUUAUGGAUAAGAAAUCAUAACACCCACAUACUACUCAGGCCAAAACAUAGCGUGUUUCCCCAAAGCCCUCGAUAUGCGCACCUUCCACAAAAUGACUUCCUUUUCUGAUUCUGCACUUUGAAUGAAUCAAUCACAUGUGUGCUCCCUGUGUUUUCUACCACAUUCCAUAGGCUGUAUUCUGAGUGGCUUUCUCUGAUUGUCUGGUUUGAUUUUCUUCUUUUGUGGUAUACAAACUGCUAUAGAAUUUGUCCAGUCAAGGCUCACUUGACAAUAAUUGUUUACUGGGUCUUUUCCAAAUCUUCUAUGAUGUAGAUCUUUUUUCCUCUGCAGAUAUUUUCUUUUCUGCCAUCUUGUCUGAUAUUCUAACAGCUCAUGUUUACUAAUCACCUGUCCACUACUUCUACCAGGUCUCAUGUGUUUAGACUUUACAGGAAGUUGGCGUUUGGACUGAGCUCUGGUGCUGUCCCCAACCCAAGUGUGGCAGUGCUCACGCAUGCUCCUUUUCCACAUGAGCAAGCAAGGCUACGCUGUCAUCUGACCAGAGAGACCAAGACAGGGAAGAGCAGGAGCCACGUUCCCAAACAGAAGAGUGUCCGCCACCUGCAGACUUCAGUCCUUUCCGUACAAACCCCACCCCUCUGCUCAGCUGACAGAAGCAGGCACUUAAUGGAGAGAAGUACUGGCCGACUCUAAAUCAGCAAGGAAAGGCCACAAGGAUGUGUCUUUCACCACAGCCACGGUGCCUUAGUGCCCACAACUGCUUAUCUUAGAUCACAUGUGGCUUACUAACACUGAAAAGCUGCCUCUGAUGAUCCUUCCAGGCUUCCGUAGAGGCAACUCAUGCUACAAAGGAUCUGCAUGAAUCUCUAUCACACUCUUAAUAUACUUCAUGGCCUGAGACUCCCCAGACCAUUCAGUCUAAUGUGACACAGAUCUAUAGCUGCGAAUUCAGGGAUGGUUUUACUCAGUCUUCUCCUUUUCCUUCCUAGAAUUCACCAAGGAAAGUCUCCUGUUCAACCCUUAGGAAGAGGCCAAUCCUGUGCUGAGGGUCUGGCCUUGCAGUCCCAGGGUAUAGGAAAUCUCCUAUUCCACUCCAGCUACCUGUAACCUGUAACCCUCUACCUCAAGCGUACAAACCACAGCUCAGCAUCAGCUAGGCAGGUAGGUGUCUCAACAGCAGAACAGCCUAUAGGUCUCCUCUACCCUUACUUGACCCUAUCCUUACCUGACUUCACCUUUCCUUAACUGCUAAGCCAUCCCUCCAGCCUCAGGCUUGAGCUCGUUUUUUAACUAAGAAAUGGUCUGAAUAAUCGGGCCUAUCCUGGCAUCCCCUCCCAAGGUCCUGGAAUGUACAUCUCAAAGGCGUGAUUAAAUUCUGGUGACGUAGCCAAGAGACUGUUCUCGCUCCACUGCUAAGGCAAACUUCUCCUAUCAGCCACUACUUAAUGAAAGAAGCACAGACUGCUAAGAUUUAGAGGGCUGGCAAAAUGAACAUUUGGUCUCUCAGUUCCCAGCCCAGGAAUCUAAGUUCAAAGUGUAGGCUUCCUAAGCUCCAAAAUAAGUAGCGUUGUCACGCAAUGAUUCCACUCUGAGAACAGAAGGGCUUUGUGCAUCGUCUUGCAGCCGUUUAGGCCCCGUGUGUUACCUACCACCUUGCCCCAUUGCUCCAGAACCGUCCUGCUUCAUGUUGCCCAACGCGUGGCCAAGCUCACAGGGCAGAGCCAGCCACUCUUGCUCAAUCAGAGAGUUUGCUCUCAAUUUCAGGGCAUACUGGUCUUAUUUCUUAACAAAUAAGCAAUGCUUCAAACCUGUCCUUUGAGUUUCUGUUACCUGUUGUCGCAAGGACGAUAUGAGGGCCACUCCCAUAGCUGAGGCUGGCUAUUUUUUUGCCAGUUAGAGAAUCCAGUCUCCGAGGCUCAAUAGUGCUCUGAAUGUCGCCUACCCCCAGACAGCCACUGCAGUUUGUGCCAAGCACAAAAAUCUGUGGGAAAAAAAAAAAACAAACCAGGCAGUUCAAGGAACUCCAUUUCUGAGAAUUCUAUAAAUUACCUCAGGCAGCCUUCCUAAAGCAAACUGCCUCGUCACAGAAUAAAUAAAAAUUGACUUUCCAUACUU